rnacentral:rRNA from 1 species
CAGUAGCCGCGGUAAUACGUAGGGUGCGAGCGUUAAUCGGAAUUACUGGGCGUAAAGCGUGCGCAGGCGGUUCGUUAAGACAGAUGUGAAAUCCCCGGGCUUAACCUGGGAACUGCAUUUGUGACUGGCGAGCUAGAGUAUGGCAGAGGGGGGUAGAAUUCCACGUGUAGCAGUGAAAUGCGUAGAGAUGUGGAGGAAUACCGAUGGCGAAGGCAGCCCCCUGGGCCAAUACUGACGCUCAUGCACGAAAGCGUGGGGAGCAAACAGGAUUGGAUACCCGUGUAGUCCCUGUCUCUUAUAA